rnacentral:pre_miRNA from 1 species
CACUUGAGGGGGGGGUCCCUCAGCCCCAAUUGUGAGAGGGUGUAGGCCAGGCUGAGGGAGCCCACCAGUGGCCA